UACGUAGGGGGCGAGCGUUGUCCGGAGUUAUUGGGCGUAAAGCGCGCGCAGGCGGCGCAUCGCGCCCGGCGUGAAAGCCCCCGGCUCAACCGGGGAGGGUCGUCGGGGACGGGUGCGCUUGAGGACGGCAGGGGCAGGUGGAAUUCCCGGUGUAGUGGUGAAAUGCGUAGAGAUCGGGAGGAACACCCGUGGCGAAGGCGGCCUGCUGGGCCGAUCCUGACGCUGAGGCGCGAAGGCGUGGGGAGCGAACGGG
rnacentral:rRNA from 1 species